rnacentral:rRNA from 1 species
GUGCCAGCCGCCGCGGUAAUACGAAGGUGGCAAGCGUUAUUCGGAUUUACUGGGCGUACAGGGAGCGUAGGCGGUUCGGUAAGCCCUUUGUGAAAUCUUCAGGCUUAACCUGGAAAAGUCGGAGGGGACUGCCGGGCUAGAGGACGGGAGAGGAGCGCGGAAUUCCCGGUGUAGCGGUGAAAUGCGUAGAGAUCGGGAGGAAGGCCGGUGGCGAAGGCGGCGCUCUGGAACGUUUCUGACGCUGAGGCUCGAAAGCGUGGGGAGCAAACAGGAUUAGAUACCCCUGUAGUCC